CCCCCUAGACCGCCCCCUCCAGGCCCCGGGGCGAGAGUCUUAACUCUUUCGCUCCCGAAGACCCAGAGCCGAGGGAGGCCCUGCGGAAACCCUUCCCUUCGCCGCGGGCGCAGGCCGAAGCCUGCACCCCAAGGCUCCACACCACUCCAGGGCAAGGCCGGAGAGUCUGUGGAAGGGUCCAGUGUGUGGCUCAGAGAAACUUUGGAUUCCUCAAGAAAUCCAAACACUGAGGGGUGCAGACACUGCAGAAGGCAAGGAUAGUCAGACAAAUACAUUUGAUGACUCUCAAGCAAGUGCUAUCCAGUUUCACCCUUUCUGCCAGCAAGCCUUCCAUAUGUGCCACUCACUCCGACCAGAGUACCCUCCCAGUUCCUUUUCAGAAAUACCCUCUCAUUGUCCUUCUAUCAGAGCCUCUGAUGCACCUGGCAGGUGCAUCACUCAGCUUAUCAGACUCAGCCAGCUGAGACCACUCAGCUUAUCACUCCAGGGGUUAGAAUGCAUCCAUUUUCUCUUUUAGACUCCUUAAAUGCUUGUUUAAUUUUAUCCCUUUUUAAAAUUGUCCUUAUUUAGGCUUUGUAAUGGAAGAGAAUUUAAAAGAUAUAGACCCUGGUCCCACAAAAUUCAAAAAUAAAAGGAUGACUGUGGGUACUAAUCA
rnacentral:lncRNA from 1 species